UAUGAAUCAUCGCAAGGUGAUCAAAUCGUAAAUAUAGUAAGUAACUUGGCUGUUUGAAGUUUGAAAACUGCGACCGCAAAGUGAACGCAUCGCGCCUGGAUGACGAGCGCACGCAAAAAUAUCUACGCCAACAAAGAAAGAGUUCGAGCACGUGCCACCACAACUUCUAAAAGGAAUCGAAGACGCGGCCAAUUAAAGUCGAUGCUUCAAGAAUGCGCGCGCGCACGAGGUAUUUUUACUAGACUCCGCGCCGAAAAAAGAACGACAGGAACCAAAAUAAACGACGGGCAGGAUGAGAGACUCGCAGGAAUUCAGCGGCGAACCAACAUCGUGCUUCGAUACACACAGAAGAGACGCAAUAAUUGUUAAACGAUUGCUACUGUGCGACGCGCGACGAAAAGUCACACAGGAUGCGCUAUAAAGAAGAUGAAGGAACUCAUUACACAUUAAAACAACAAGCAGAGACAAAAUAAACAGCAAAUUAAACCACAA